UCGCUCCUACCGAUUGAAUGAUCCGGUGAAGUCAGUGGACUGGCGUAGGUUUCGGGUAACUGAUCCUAUUGUCCGGGAAAUUGAUUAAACCUUAUCAUUUAGAGGAAGGAG
rnacentral:rRNA from 1 species